GAGGCGCUAGACAGGGAGGAGAGGUGGAAAGGGAGGAAGAGGCUUCUUUUCCAUUUUUCUGUUUCCCCCAGCAUUGCUCUAGCAGCAGCAGCAGCAGCAGCAGCAGCAGCAGCAGCAGCAGCAGCAGUAGCAGUGGCAGCAGCAGUGGCAGUGGUGGCUCUAGCCCCAUGCUCCUCUCAGCUGCUUUCAAGUCUGUCCCAGCCAAAAUCAGAUGGUGCACCUUCUCAAAGCAAUGUCAAGAGAUUAAGGAAAACUGGCAAUCAAUCACCAUCCUUUUUCAGAGGAAAAGAACACCCAAGAGUAGAAAGAAAUGGCGUACUUCCAUGGAGAUUCAGAAGUUGCAAAAUAUCAACGAGCCCAAUAUGCUUCUUGAAAAACUCAGUGACUCAGGCUGAUGAAAGGGCUUGGGGCCACCAGCCGAAGCCAGAUGGGCCCUGGGGAUUCAGAGACACUCCAGUCACGUCAGCCUAUGACCGUCAGCAGCUAGACAACUGAUGCAUUCUGUACCAACAGCUGGAGCUUCUGGGAGGUCUUUAACCAGAGCCCUGAGCAAAGGGCAUUGAGGUAAUCCAGGAUGGAGGUCACCAACGGAUGGAAAACUGUGGUGGGAUUCUCACUGGUGAGGAGAAAGAAGAGGUUACAGCCUUUUUGCCAAAUCCUCUGUGGCUGGAGUCGGUGCCCGAGUGAUGAUUUCCAUUGCGAAUGCAGUCUAACAUUGGUGGUAUCCUGUCUUGAGGAGAAAAACAAGUCCAGAUACUGAGUACCACUCUUUCGU
ensembl:lncRNA